UACGGCCACAUCAUGUUAAAACACCGGUUCCCGUACGAUCACCGGAGUUAAGCAACAUCAAGUAUAGUUAGUACUUAGAUGGGCGACCACUUGAGAAUAAUAGGUGCUGUAAG